rnacentral:rRNA from 1 species
CAAGGAAUUUUCCGCAAUGGGCGCAAGCCUGACGGAGCAACGCCGCGUGGGGGAUGACGCUUUUCGGAGUGUAAACCCCUUUUCUCAGGGAAGAAGAAAGUGACGGUACCUGCGGAAGAAGGACCGGCUAACUACGUGCCAGCAGCCGCGGUAAUACGUAGGGUCCGAGCGUUGUCCGGAGUUACUGGGCGUAAAGCGCGCGCAGGUGGCUCGAUAAGACUGGCGUGAAAGCCCCCGGCUCAACCAGGGAGGGUCGUUGGUGACUGUCGAGCUUGAGGGCAGCAGGGGGAGGUGGGAUUCCCGGUGUAGUGGUGAAAUGCGUAGAGAUCGGGAGGAACACCCGUGGCGAAGGCGGCCUGCUGGGCUGACCCUGACACUGAGGCGCGAAGGCGUGGGGAGCGAA